rnacentral:rRNA from 1 species
UUAGUCUUGUAAUUUAAGACUGGAAUGAAAGAGUUAAUGAAAGAGAAACUCUUUUUAACAUACUUUUCAAACUUUACUUUUUAGUAAAAAGGCUAAAAUACUAUUUAAAGACAAGAAGACCCUAUAAAUCUUCACACACAAAGAUUGAAAAGAUCAAAAAUGUGUUUAGCUGGGGCGGCAGAGAGCAUCUCACUCUUAAAUAUAUCAAGAAUUAUCCACAUCACCAGAAAUUCUGAAAAUAAAACAAGUUACUUUAGGGAUAACAGCGUAAUAUAUUUAGAAAGCUCAAAUCGAUAAAUAUGAUUGCGACCUCGAUGUUGGAUUGGUUAUCCUUUGUACUAUGCAAGAGUAGCAAGAGGAGGUC